rnacentral:rRNA from 1 species
UACGGAGGGUGCGAGCGUUGUCCGGAAUCACUGGGCGUAAAGGGCGCGUAGGCGGCUCAUGAAGGCUGUGGUGAAAGUCCGGGGCUCAACCUCGGAUCGGCCGUGGCGACUCGUGGGCUGGAGCACUGUAGAGGCGGGUGGAAUUCCCGGUGUAGCGGUGAAAUGCGUUGAUAUCGGGAGGAAUACCCGUGGCGAAGGCGGUCCACUGGGCAUCAACUGACGCUGAGGCGCGAAAGCGUGGGUAGCAAACAGG